UACGUAGGGUGCGAGCGUUAAUCGGAAUUACUGGGCGUAAAGCGUGCGCAGGCGGUUUUGUAAGCCGGAUGUGAAAUCCCCGGGCUUAACCUGGGAAUGGCAUUCGGGACUGCAAGGCUGGAGUGCGGCAGAGGAGACUGGAAUUCCUGGUGUAGCAGUGAAAUGCGUAGAUAUCAGGAGGAACACCGAUGGCGAAGGCAGGUCUCUGGGCUGACACUGACGCUCAUGCACGAAAGGCGUGGGGAGCAAACAGG
rnacentral:rRNA from 1 species